GCCUGGCCGGCUCAGUCGGUAGAGUGUGUGACUCUUGAUCUUGGGGCUGUGAGUUCAAGCCCCAUGUUGGGUA
rnacentral:tRNA from 1 species